CCUACGGGAGGCAGCAGUGAGGAAUAUUGGUCAAUGGACGAGAGUCUGAACCAGCCAAGUAGCGUGAAGGAUGACUGCCCUAUGGGUUGUAAACUUCUUUUAUAAAGGAAUAAAACGAGGCACGGGUGCCUUUUUGAAUGUACUUUAUGAAUAAGGAUCGGCAAACUCCGUGCCAGCAGCCGAGGUAAUACGGAGGAUCCGAGCGUUAUCCGGAUUUAUUGGGUUUAAAGGGAGCGUAGAUGGGUUGUUAAGUCAGUUGUGAAAGUUUGCGGCUCAACCGUAAAAUUGCAAUUGAUACUGGCAGUCUUGAGUACAGUUGAGGUAGGCGGAAUUCGUGGUGUAGCGGUGAAAUGCUUAGAUAUCACGAAGAACCCCGAUUGCGAAGGCAGCUUACUAAACUGUGACUGACAUUGAUGCUCGAAAGUGUGGGUAUCAAACAGGAUUAGAUACCCCUGUAGUC
rnacentral:rRNA from 1 species